AAGAGUCUGCUUAGUUAGAUAUUUUCUUUUUGACUCAUUUACAAAUUUCCCGAAGUUGAAUAUAGUCUGAUUAGUUAUACACUUUUUUUAUUGCAUAUCGAAAGGCAAUUAACUGAUGCUUUUGUCGGGUUAAACGAAAGGCUUCAUCUCAAUUCUUCGCUUUUUAAAAUUUAUUAAAGAACUUGUCCAGACAAGAACAGUCUCUUACAUCGACAAACGUUAUUGUCUUGAUCUAGAAGCUAGAAGUGUCUGAUGCUGUAAAUAGAAACUGCAUCAAUCCAGCAAGAAUGAACAAAGAAGAAAGCGACAACUUGGAUGUAAAACUGGAGCAACAGAAAACGCUCAAAGAUAAGCUGGUGUUGGAGCAGGAGAAAUUCAACCAACACUUUGAAACAGCUAAGUUACAACUUGAAUUGAAGUUCGCUGAAGAAAAAAAAGAAUUAGAAGAAAAAGUCGCACGCGGAGAAAUGAAAAGAAAUGAAUUACAGCGACAAAAAGAGGAUGUUGAACAACGUGAACAACGAAUGUUAGUUGGUUUGCAAGAAUUUCGGGUAGAAGAAGAAUUGAGACUUCGUCAGAUGCAAGAAGAACUGAUUGCAGUAGCUCAGAGUCUUAACGCCAUGAUGAAAGAAGCAAUUCGGAAGACCGAACACCGAAGACGAACACACGAAGACCGAAUACUGCGUGUCCAAAAAGAGCUGGAUGAAAAAUUGCUUAAUGAGAUUAAAUGUCUAAUUUGUUCCGAGCUGAUGGAGUUUGCUACUGUCUUGAACUGUGGGCAUACCUUCUGUCAGCACUGCGUCAGAGAGUGGAAAAAGAAUAAGGUGGAAUGUCCAAUAUGUCGAGCCCCCAUAACCACAGAACAAAGAAAUCCAUUGGUGGAUGAUCUGAUUGACAUUUGGUUCAGUUCGCUUUCGGAAGAAACAAAGAACAGAAGAAAGGAAAUAAUUAUUAAACGCCGAUAACUAUUUAAACACGCAUUCUCAGCCUUCAGUUCAUCCUCGGCCGUCCGUAGCUCGGUCAACGAUUCGUCCAACUGCUCCUUCUCCUCCUGUUCGUCCUUCCACUGUUAGAGGAACAUUGAAUCGUUUGACCGCACCAACAUUGCCCAUCCUCAGCCCGCUACUCCUGCCAUUGUCACGGAGGAAAUGGUAAUUCUUUCAAGCGGAUCCGACUCAUCAAACGAAGAUAUUUCGGAUAUUAUUGAUUUUGCAAAUCGCCGUCGCCAAACGGGAAGAAGACCUUGUCCUUCGUAUAGAAGGACAAAUACGUCACGACUCUGCGUCUACUGAAAUUACUCGAGCAAUAGUCGAAUCUUGAUGCUCUGCCUCGUCAUA